rnacentral:rRNA from 1 species
UAACACGUGGGUAACCUGCCCAUCAGAAGGGAUAACACUUGGAAACAGGUGCUAAUACCGUAUAACACUAUUUUCCGCAUGGAAGAAAGUUGAAAGGCGCUUUUGCGUCACUGAUGGAUGGACCCGCGGUGCAUUAGCUAGUUGGUGAGGUAACGGCUCACCAAGGCAACGAUGCAUAGCCGACCUGAGAGGGUGAUCGGCCACACUGGGACUGAGACACGGCCCAG